GUGAAUCAUCGAAUUUUUGAACGCAAAUUGCACUCUCUUCGGAGAGCAUGCCUGUUUGAGGGUCAGCCUAAAAAAAAUCGACAUAGUCGCUGUUUCCGCGGUGACAUCGUCGGGAAUUUGGGCCACUUUAAUCCUUUGGGUUUUAAAGGGACUAAAAAUUUUUUUUUUGGUUCCAUGAACGUUUCUAAGAUCUAUUUCUUUACACCUUUUAAGGAUCGAUUUUUUAUUAGCGGUAGC
rnacentral:misc_RNA from 1 species